UACGGGGGGGCAAGGCGUUGUUCGGAAUUACUGGGCGUAAAGGGCGCGUAGGCGGUUCGCUAAGUUGGAUGUGAAAACUCUGGGCUCAACCCAGAGCCUGCAUCCAAAACUGGCGGGCUAGAGUUCUGGAGGGGUAGCGGAAUUCCUGGUGUAGCGGUGAAAUGCGUAGAUAUCAGGAGGAACACCGGUGGCGAAGGCGGCUACCUGGACAGAAACUGACGCUGAGGCGCGAAAGCUAGGGGAGCAAACAGG
rnacentral:rRNA from 1 species